UACGUAGGGGGCUAGCGUUGUCCGGAAUCAUUGGGCGUAAAGCGCGCGUAGGCGGCCCUGUUAGUCCGCUGUAAAAGUCAAAGGCUCAACCUUUGAAUGCCGGUGGAUACUGCAGGGCUAGAGUCCGGAAGAGGCGAGUGGAAUUCCUGGUGUAGCGGUGGAAUGCGCAGAUAUCAGGAGGAACACCGGUGGCGAAGGCGCCACUCUGGGCCGAAACUGACGCUGAGGAGCGAAAGCGUGGGUAGCAAACAGG
rnacentral:rRNA from 1 species